rnacentral:sRNA from 19 species
ACGAAGGCUUUCUAGUAUUCCCCCCUUUUAUUUGGAUGCGAACCGGGUUCGUAUCUUUUUUU